rnacentral:rRNA from 1 species
UGAGGAAUAUUGGUCAAUGGGCGGGAGCCUGAACCAGCCAAGCCGCGUGAGGGAAGAAGGUACAGCGUAUCGUAAACCUCUUUUGUCAGGGAACAAAGGCGGGGACUAGUCCCCGAAUGAGGGUACCUGAAGAAAAAGCAUCGGCUAACUCCGUGCC